CUACGGGAUGCAGCAGUGGGGAAUAUUGGACAAUGGGGGAAACCCUGAUGCAGCAACGCCGCGUGGAGGAUGACACUUUUCGGAGCGUAAACUCCUUUUAUAUAGGAAGAAGAUGACGGUACUAUAUGAAUAAGCGCCGGCUAACUCCGUGCCAGCAGCCGCGGUAAUACGGAGGGCGCAAGCGUUACUCGGAAUCACUGGGCGUAAAGAGCGUGUAGGCGGAUUAAAAAGUCAGAAGUGAAAUCCUAUAGCUUAACUAUAGAACUGCUUCUGAAACUCUUAAUCUAGAAUAUGGGAGAGGUAGAUGGAAUUUCUGGUGUAGGGGUAAAAUCCGUAGAGAUCAGAAGGAAUACCGAUUGCGAAGGCGAUCUACUAGAACAUUAUUGACGCUGAGACGCGAAAGCGUGGGGAGCAAACAGGAUUGGAUACCCUCGUAGUC
rnacentral:rRNA from 1 species